AGAGUUUGAUCCUGGUUCAGGACGAACGCUGGCGGCGUGCCUAAUACAUGCAAGUCGAACGAGAAUUUCUUACACCGAGUGCUUGCACUCACCGUAAGAAAUUCGAGUGGCGGACGGGUGAGUAACACGUGGGUAACCUGCCCAAAAGAAGGGGAUAACAUUUGGAAACAAAUGCUAAUACCGUAUAACCAUGAUGACCGCAUGGUCAUUAUGUAAAAGGUGGUUUUGCUAUCGCUUUUGGAUGGACCCGCGGCGUAUUAACUAGUUGGUAGGGUAACGGCCUACCAAGGUGAUGAUACGUAGCCGAGUUGAGAGACUGAUCGGCCACAAUGGGACUGAGACACGGCCCAUACUCCUACGGGAGGCAGCAGUAGGGAAUCUUCCACAAUGGGCGCAAGCCUGAUGGAGCAACGCCGCGUGAAUGAAGAAGGUCUUCGGAUCGUAAAAUUCUGUUGUUAGAGAAGAAUAUGAGUAAUAGUAACUGAUUAUUCACUGACGGUAUCUAACCAGCAAGUCACGGCUAACUACGUGCCAGCAACCGCGGUAAUACGCAGGUGGCAAGCGUUGUCCGG
rnacentral:rRNA from 1 species